rnacentral:rRNA from 1 species
GGAAAGAUUCAGCGGUAUGGGAUGGGGUCGCGUCCUAUCAGCUUGAUGGCGGGGUAACGGCCCACCAUGGCUUCGACGGGUAGCCGGCCUGAGAGGGCGACCGGCCACAUUGGGACUGAGAUACGGCCCAGACUCCUACGGGAGGCAGCAGUGGGGAAUAUUGCACAAUGGGCGCAAGCCUGAUGCAGCGACGCCGCGUGCGGGAUGACGGCCUUCGGGUUGUAAACCGCUUUUGACUGGGAGCAAGCCCUUCGGGGUGAGUGUACCUUUCGAAUAAGCACCGGCUAACUACGUGCCAGCAGCCGCGGUAAUACGUAGGGUGCAAGCGUUAUCCGGAAUUAUUGGGCGUAAAGGGCUCGUAGGCGGUUCGUCGCGUCCGGUGUGAAAGUCCAUCGCUUAACGGUGGAUCCGCGCCGGGUACGGGCGGGCUUGAGUGCGGUAGGGGAGACUGGAAUUCCCGGUGUAACGGUGGAAUGUGUAGAUAUCGGAAAGAACACCA